rnacentral:lncRNA from 1 species
UCUCCGUGAUCUUCUAGGUGAUCUUGCUGAUUUCUCUAGUGAUACUACUUAGGGAUCGGGGUGGCUCCCUCUAAUGUGGUCAACUUGAACUCCUAUUCCAGUGUGUUUCCCCCUGUGUUAACUGCCAUCUUAGACUCACCUGUGUUUUGGUUCCAAGGUGGAAGAGAAGGGCUAGGCAUUGAGCUAGGAAGUAUCUGGGGCCAUCUUGUUUGUUUUUAGAAAUCAUUUGAUGGCAGGAAUAAAGGUUGGGGACCCAUAUAGGAACACUUUAUCCUAAACAUUCUAUUCAUCUUUCUUUUAAAAAGUCAUCAUAAGGGAGAAUCUAGGUGGCUCAGUGGAUUGAGAACCGGACGUAGAGAUGGAAGGUCCUAGGUUUAAAUCUGGCCUCAGACACCUCCUAGCUGUGUGACCCUGGGCAAGUCACUUGACCCCCAUUGCCUAGCCCUUACCACUCUUCUGCUCCAUUCUCUCCAUUCUAAGAUGGAAGCACACCCUGAACCCAAGGAUGGAAUUUCUGUGUGGCCAGCAAGGACUUAUCUUCGGAAGCUUCCAAGAAUUUCCAAGGGAAAAAGGUCCACUUGAUUUUCCUUUACUUUCACAUAUUUGGCUUGAGGAUUAUCCAUCUUU